rnacentral:misc_RNA from 1 species
UAUCCGUAGGUGAACCUGCGGAAGGAUCAUUAUUGUAUAACCGAGGUGCGAGGGCUGUCGCUGACCCGAAAGGUCGUGCACGCCCGAGUGCCCUCACACGCAUCCAUCUCACCCCUAUGUGCACCACCGCGUGGGUCCCCCUUUGGCUUGUUCGGAGGGGGGCUUACGUUUUCACACAAACUUUGUAUGCAGUGUAGAAUGUAUUUUUUGUUUUUGCGAUCACGCAAUCAAUACAACUUUCAACAACGGAUCUCUUGGCUCUC